UGAGGAAUAUUGGUCAAUGGACGCAAGUCUGAACCAGCCAAGUAGCGUGCAGGAUGACGGCCCUAUGGGUUGUGAACUGCUUUUAUAUGGGGAUAAAGUGGGGAACGUGUUCCCUUUUGCAGGUACCAUAUGAAUAAGGACCGGCUAAUUCCGUGCCAGCAGCCGCGGUAAUACGGAAGGUUCGGGCGUUAUCCGGAUUUAUUGGGUUUAAAGGGAGCGUAGGCCGUUUGGUAAGCGUGUUGUGAAAUGUAGGAGCUCAACUUCUAGAUUGCAGCGCGAACUGUCAGACUUGAGUGCGCACAACGUAGGCGGAAUUCAUGGUGUAGCGGUGAAAUGCUUAGAUAUCAUGAAGAACUCCGAUUGCGAAGGCAGCUUACGGGAGCGCAACUGACGCUGAAGCUCGAAGGUGCGGGUAUCGAACAGG
rnacentral:rRNA from 1 species